UUCACUCUGUGCUCUGCACUUGUGUAGUUUCUAAUGAUUCUUUCAUAUAGCUCUUAACAUUCUUCUGCUCUGUGCUCUGCACUUAUAUAGUCUCUAACAAUUCUUUCACAUAGCUUCUUACAUUCUUCUGCUCUGUAUUCCAUGCUUGUGUAGUCUCUAAUGAUUCUUUCACAUAGCUUCUUACAUUCUUCUGCUCUGUGUUCUGCACUCAUAUAGUCUCUAACAAUUCUUCUGUAUAGUUCUCAAUGAUUCCCUCAUCCCACAUUUCAUACUUGUGUAGCUUCUAACAAUUCUUACACAUACUCCUUAAUGUUCUUCCACUCUGCACUUCACUGUGGAGCAGCUUCUGAUAUUCUUCCACUCUGAACUUUCCUCUAUAAAAACCCCCU
rnacentral:sRNA from 1 species